UACGAAGGGGCUAGCGUUGCUCGGAAUUACUGGGCGUAAAGGGAGCGUAGGCGGACAUUUAAGUCAGGGGUGAAAUCCCGGGGCUCAACCUCGGAAUUGCCUUUGAUACUGGGUGUCUUGAGUAUGAGAGAGGUGUGUGGAACUCCGAGUGUAGAGGUGAAAUUCGUAGAUAUUCGGAAGAACACCAGUGGCGAAGGCGACACACUGGCUCAUUACUGACGCUGAGGCUCGAAAGCGUGGGGAGCAAACAGGAUUAGAUACCCCGGUAGUCCCUGA
rnacentral:rRNA from 1 species